GCUGAAUGUAGUCAGUCAGCGGAUGGGAGCAGAUAUAACAUCAGCGCCACGUGAGGGAUAAAGAGGGAGAGGACGGCCAGUUGGGUCAUUACUCAGUCAUUUGCGUUUGGAAAAAAAAAGGAUAAGCGUUUCUCUUGGUUGGGUUUUUUUUUCUCCCCCUUUCUUUCUUUUUUUCUGCUUCUCUUCUAUCUUCUUGAAUUUUCCUUUGGCUCCUUUGGGGGUUUUUUUCCAUCUUCUGAGUGGACAACACCGUUGGAGUGCAUCAGAAGAUUUCAGUUCAUUUCUCCUACAUGAUAAGGAAGUUGGGAGGUGUUGAAGCUGGCGAGCCAUGCCCAUGUAAAGACUGAACUGUAUACUGUAAUGUGAAAUACUCAGAACCCUGCCUUUGCUGAUGUUGGAGUUGAGAUGGCAGUUCUUCUUAGUGUCUGCUCCUGUCUUCUGGUCAUUCUCGUCAAUCACAAUGCACAUCUCAGCCAGCAGAUGGACCUGCUUCUCAUCCAGAUUAUCCUUGUUUAUUUCUGGCAUCUUUACACCGGCUUGAGUACAGAAAGCAGCACCACACCUGUGGAAACAGAAAGCAGAGCAUUAUGACCACCUGCCUGAUAUUGUGUUGGUCCACUUUUUGCUGCCAAAACAGCCCUGACCACUCAUGCACUGUGUGUUCUGACACCUUUCUAUCAGAACCAGCAUUAACUUCUUCAGCAAUUUGAGCAACAGUAGCUCGUCUGUUGGAUAGGAUCACACCUGGUGCAUCAAUGAGCCUUGGCCAUCCAUGACCCUGUUGCCGGUUCACCACUGUUCCUUCCUUGGACCACUUUUGAUAGAUACUGACCACUGAAGACCGUUAACACUCCUCAAGAGCUGCAGUUUUGGAGAUGCUCUGAUCCACUGGUCUAGCCAUCACAAUUUGGUCUUUCGUCAAACUCGCUCAAAUCCUUACUCUUGUCCAUUUUUCCUGCUUCUAACACAUCAACCUUGAGAACAAAAUGUUCACUUGUUGCCUAAUAUGUCCCACCCACUAACAGGUGCCAUGAUGAGGAGAUCAUCAGUCUUAUUCACUUCACCUGACAGUAGUCAUAAUGUUAUGGCUGAUUGGUGUAUAUAAACACAACAAAGGACAGUUCUGUGUUAAUGUUUGUUAAUGUGUAUUAUUAUAUGUGUAUUAAUAUAUUAUAUAUAUUAAUUUUUCUUCUUCUGAACAUUAUUAUUAUUAGCAUUAGCAUUUUUUGGAGGGACAGUGAUGGUUUAAAUGGUUAAGGCUCCGGGUUGUUGAUCAGAAGUUUGGGGUUCAAGCCCGAGCAUCACCAAGAUCCACUGUUGGGCAAUUCAUCAAGGCCCUUAAUCCUCCCUGCUCCAGGGGUGCUGUAUUAUAGCUGCCCCUGCACUCUGACCCCAACUUCCUCAGCUGGGAUACACAAAGAAAAGAAUUCCACUGUAAUGUAUACAUGGCGAUAAUAAAGGCUUCGUGCCCUCAGUUCAUUUAUAUAUCAGAUGAGUAGAGGACUCACAAUAAUGUGCCAGGUAAAACACACACACACACAGGACAUAAAAUAUUAUUC